GAGUUAUUUCUGAUCAGAAGACCUCAACUGGAAUACCAUACCUUGUGUUACUUCUUUAUCCACAAUCAGGUUGCUGGAAGCUCCUGAACAAGCAGAAGACCACAACUAACCUGAAAGCCAAGCAGAAGCAGAAGCCUACAUGAUUAUACAUACUGAUGUAUGUCCAUAGCCGCUCUUCCAUGGAUUUAGCUAUUUAGUUUCCAGGUUUCCACUGACGUUAAAGGACCAGGACCCUUCAGUCAGACUCCCUGAUGGAUCCCAGUUGCAGAUCUCUGUAUCUGGAAACAUCAGUAUAUGAACGAAGUGGACCAGGAGAUUCCUACCUACUGUUACUGGUAGAAGAUCCCCACAGUGUUGAUGGGCAAGAUUCACUGCCUCCUUGAGCACAUCCAGCCUUCUCAGAGCUCCAACACUGUGGUAAUUAACUCUCUCUGCAUCUUAGAACAUAAGCACUCAGAGACCGAAGGAUUGGGGAAUUGGAUAAUGCUGUGUUCUUUUAGAAGCAUCAUGCAUGGAGUUCAUUGCACUUUGUUUCUGCAAACUCUUUAGAGUUUGUUGAUAGCGUAACGUGAUACUGAGUCUGCGCAAGAGAGAAGCUGGGAAGUACUGUACAGGAAGAUAAAGUAGUGCAUCUUGGUAUGUGAAAUGCAGACGCACCAUUCCUGUUUUACAGCCACAGCUUUUGCAAAGUGCUGAGUAUCUAAAUGGGUCACAGACUUUUACACUGGCACUACAGUACAUUCUGUCUGAAGGCAUCCCUCCUUCGCAAUAUAGACACUGCAGAAAACGAUUCAGAGAUGCUGUUUCUACUUUUUUUUUUAACCCCAAAGGAGAAAGAAAGAUAAAGGGAGGCUUAGGAAAGGGUUCCAAAAGCUGUUAUGGUUAUACAGCCUUGACUAAAGUAAAGAAUUCAUGAUAGUGAUUUCCACACUUUAAAAGAUUUCAGCAGAAUUGAUUCAAUUAAACAGAUAAUGUAACUUAAGCCAAUGACAUUAUUCCACAAAUUGUUUUUGUUAAUAGUUUUUUUCUUUUCUGAAAUGCUGUUGCCCUGAUUCAGGGUUUACACAUGCCAGUGCUAACAUCCACAUUUUAAAAUUUAUGGUCUUGCCUUUAAAUCAAUUUUAAAACCACCAGCAUAACUGAACUUCCUUGGCAGAGACCUAUGGGAAUACAUUUUCCAAGUUCGUAUAUGGGAGGUAGAUCCACAAAUCUUGUUUAUAGGUAAUGGGAUUUGUGCUCUCUAUUACAGACAGAGAACUAUGCCUUGCAAAUUAUAUUUUUGUUGAAGCAAAAUUUUUGUUUCAUGAUUGGUUGAAGUGACUGUGAUGUAACAGCAGGCCAUGGUCAGAAUAAUUCAAGCCCUUUACUUCCUUCUCCAGAGAGCCAUACUAAAAAUAAAAACAUUUUGCUCCUUUUCUCAAAGUUAUAUAGUUUUGUGGGCACCAAAUGACCAAAUAGAUGUGAAAAAGAAAAAAAAUAAAUUAAAAGUUCUCUGAAAGAAAGAAAGAAUAUAGUCCCACUGCAGGCUUGUCCAACUUAGAAUAGCUAGCAUAUUAGCAUCAUAGAGUAGCAUUUCCUCCUAGUGCUCACUUUGCUGAAUUGUAAACUGUGCUUUGCUGCCACUUUAAGUACUGCUAACUGCAAGACACUCCUGGGCUCACAUCAUGUAUAAAAUCUUCCUUGUUCUAUACAGAUCUAAUAAAAUGGAUUCCUUUCAGCAUCAUUCACUCAAUAGAUUUUACAUUUAGAUUACAGAGAUAAACCUAUAAAUAUUGCAAUAAAAAUCAGAAGUCUGAAGGGCCGUAUCUUUCUAUGUAUUGAAGAGUAUAACCUACAGUGCCAGUUGAGUCUGCACCCCACCAUGCUCCCAGGUGUACCAAAUAUCUGUGGAAUUUCCUUGAAGAACUUACUGCUGGCCAACAGGUAAGAGAAGCAGAUUUCUGUGGGUGCAGACUACAGAGAAAUGGAGCAAUGAUAACCUGAAAAUCUGCCUACAAAAAUUUUCUCAGCAUUAUGAAAGAGUAUGAUAGCAAAUGAGGGCUGGCAAGAGUGGUUAUCAUUUUUGGAAACACUUAUGAACAGCUGUAGCAAGCAGGAAUAACAUAUUCAUCAAGAGAAAACUGAUCCUAUCUUUCAACGAAUAUUAUAUCUGUGUGCACUGAAAUCCAGUAUCUGCAAGAAUUGUGACAAUCAUUUUCCAGCUAGUACUGAACUAGUUCAUGUCCACAGAGCACUGUCCUGCUUAAAAUCUCUUAAUUUAAACAUCUAGUCAAAAUUACUCCUGAGAACGGAAACAACCGGUAUAUGCAAGAAAGGUCUUGAGGGCUCUCCCACUCUUCCAGUCCUCACCUUCUCCAUCCCUCGCUCACAAUUGGGUUAUUCCCAUCCCUUGUUGUGUUAUGUCCAAUCCAGACUGGAGGUCAUCUAUGGUCCAGACUGGACCUUUUUUAAAUUACCUGUAAAGCAACAUGCACAUCUCUGGAUUUUUAUGAAGAACAAUUAGAUCACUGCAUAAACUGACCAUUUGGCCCUUCAAAGAAUAGCAAAAGAAUUAUAGUUGCAAGUAUAUCAUCUGCAUUUAGGCAGUGCCCUAUCUGCAUUACUGUUGAGGACCCCUGGUGGUCUAGUGGUUAGGAUGCAGCACUCUCGCUGCCACGGCCCAGGUUCGAUUCCCGGUCAGGGAAACUCCCCCGGGCAGAUGGAGCUCGUCAGCCCUGUAAGGCCAUCCAUCUAAGAGAAGGUCACUCUAAACAAACCUACGUCCUGAGGACCUCACUGCCACUGUCCAAGCUCGCUCGGCCCCGGCAGCUGAACCUUAGGAUUAAAGGGUGGGCUCAGUUCAGCACACACUGUGUCUCACCUAAAAAAUCCACUGUGCAGGCUUGAAGGGUAAUGACCUUCCCCAAAAUCUUCAUUUGCGAAGACUGGCCAUGAUGACCUGCACUGCUGCUGGUAUAAACCUUAAUUUUUACAGUGACACUGUUUGACAGUUAUCAGUGCUUUCCAGGUCUUUAGGAAGAAUUGUACCAGCCUGGUACAAUUGAAGGCUUCCUGUGAAGGAAGGACCUUCACAGUUUCCUGGUGUGGAGAGGAGGGAACUAGACUUCCACUGCUUUCUUGCAUCACUUUGGGAACCUGGGGCAAAGGGCAUGUUUGGGCUUUCUCCUCUUUAACCUACAGAGCCCAAUGUCAUUAGUUCACAUUCUAAGUGUCUUUGAAAAAGUUGGUGGGACAAGUUUUUUGCUAAUCUGCAAGGAUGCACAUGGCAUUGGAAAUACCUGCUUCAGAAAAUUCCACCUUAUGUCUAUAAAAUGAGCAUCUUCCAAGAUGAACUCCCCGUAAACAUCUGGAAAAUGUCACCAUCAACUUACAUUGAAGUCAAGACACGAACCUUGGCUGACCUGCUUGUGUAGUUCUCUGUAAUCCCUCACUUCCUCACAAAGCUAGGUGAAUGGUCUCAGAAAACCAUGGACCUCUUGGUAAAUCAUAAAUCUGCUGGCUUGUUAGUUUGGGGGUUUUGAGGAACAGAUUUCAGGAAGUAGUGAGGAAUAAUGAUGCUCUGGGAUGUUUCAUCAUUUUUCCAUCCUCUACAGAGUUUACACAUGUUGUCUGUAACUUUCCCUGUGGAUUUGAAGGAAGGAACUCAGCUAUCUCAAUGUCUAAUUUUUGAGUUUUAUUAAUCAGAAUUGUUUUUUAAAUUAUAGUGCUCUGUAAGAUGAGAAUUACCAUAUCUUCAAUAAAGAAAUAGG